UCCUGGAUAGCUCAGUUGGUAGAGGAUGAGACUCUUUAAUCUCAGGGUUGUGGGUUCAAGCACCAUGUUGGGCA